rnacentral:rRNA from 1 species
GACGGAGGAUGCAAGCGUUAUCCGGAAUGAUUGGGCGUAAAGCGUCCGCAGGUGGCAGUUCAAGUCUGCUGUCAAAGACCGGGGCUUAACUUCGGAAAGGCAGUGGAAACUGAACAGCUAGAGUAUGGUAGGGGCAGAGGGAAUUCCUGGUGUAGUGGUGAAAUGCGUAGAUAUCGAGAGGAACACCUGCGGCGAAGGCGGGUUGCUGGGCUGACACUGACGCUGAAGCGCGAAAGCUAGGGGAGCGAACGGG